AUGCCACUCCUGAAAGCAGUCAUCUUCUCCUGCCUCUGGGCCUUUGGCCUUGGGCAGGUGAAAUUGGAGCAACCUGAAAUAUCAAUUUCCAGAGCAAGAGAUAAGAGUGCCUACAUAUCAUGCAAGGUGUCUGCUAAGGACUUUAAUGAUGAAGUAAUACACUGGUACCGGCAGAAACCAGAUCAGGAGAUAGAACAUCUAACAUAUAUCCAGGCAAACUCUGUUCAAGUUUCUUUAGGUGGGAAGAAAAACAAACUUGAAGCAAGUAAAAAUACUCAUACUUCCACUGCAACCUUGAAUGUAAAUUUCUUAGAGCAAGAAGACGAGGCCAUGUACUACUGUGCCUGCUGGAUUUUGUGUGAUAACGUCUGGAUCAUGAUGUUUGCACAAGGAACUAAACUCAUAGUAACUCCCCCAGAUAGAAACCUUGAUGCAAACAUUGCUCCCAAGCCCACAAUUUUUUUUCCUUCAACUGCUGAGAGAGAACUCCAUAAGGCUGGAACAUAUCUUUGUCUUCUUGAGAAUUUUUUCCCUGAUGUUAUCAAGAUAGAUUGGAAAGAAAAAGAUAGCAAAACAAUUCUGAAAUCGCAGCAGGGAGACACCAUGAAGACUAAUGACACAUACAUGAAAUUCAGCUGGCUGACCGUGACUGGAGCGUCAAUGGAUAAAGAACACAAAUGUAUUGUCAAACACGAGCGGAAUAAAGGAGGGGUUGAUCAAGAGAUUCUAUUUUCUUCCCACAUAAAAGAGCUCACUGCUAUUAAGUCUACAAAAGCUUCUCUGAAAGAUGAAAAUGACACCCUGCAGCUGCAGCUCAUGAGCACCUCUGCCUACUACACCUACCUCCUCCUCUUCCUGAAGAACCUGAUUUACUCCACCAUCAUUGCCUUCUGUUUGCUUGGGAGACCAGCAUUCUGUGGCAAUGGGAAGAGUUCCUAA